AGAGCCUCGAGACUGGAAUUAGAAUCGCAGUUAAAUCAAGCCCUUUGUGACAGAGAAGGAAAUCUUCUGUGGUGUGGCUGAUUUCACCAAACUGUAUGGCAACCUUGGACACUCUGGCAUGGUAUUAGUCUCGACUUGUAAACGAAAAGAAAGUCCCACAUCAGCAACACCCGAUCCAACAGGACUCUGCCCUCAAAGCGAGGUGACAAUUUCACCCUGUUUUGCUGUGUCCAGUGGCAAACGUUAGCAGGACAGCUCCAGCUGGACAAUGGCUGACUGGGAUUUUAAUGAUGAAAUAAGCAUUCCCAGCUCUUUUUGCUUCCUUUCUGAAGUUGAGAAUAUGCUGGUCUAGGAAAUAAGCCAAGUACUUGUCAAUGUAGAGAACGACCCAUCCAAAAUAAUGAACAUCUAACAGACUUCAGGAACUACUUAGACCUCUUCUCUACAAGAAGGUCUUCAAAGCCUGGCAUCUACAGGAAUUCUUAUUGUUCCUUCACAGCGCUGUAGCGUCAUGGGGAAAUGCAGAGGGACUCCCCGUCUUUUUGUGUCGUUGACUGCCUUAAGGCAAAACUAUUAUGCCUUGCAUAGUCUACCAGGAUGUGUUGUCUGCAGUUCCACACAUGAAUCCGUUUCUAUCAAGACUUGGCAUUUUGGAACUGCUGACUAUCUGCACCCUCAAAAGACAGAAUGCACACCUCCUUUUUCUAGUUGCUAAAACAAACCACAACAGAUUGAAGGACUUUGCUACAACAUAAUGCUUCAUCAGAUGACUGACUGCAGGGAGCUUUAAGAGUCAAGGAGCUGUUGGAAUUGAAUUUAUGCCUUGUAUGUCAGUGUUCAACUACUUGAAUUCCUGACUAUCUUCAAUCCUGUUUUUUUCAAUACUGUUUUUUCAAUACUGACUAUUACCACUUAAUUUGGAAGGGAGACCAACAUUUCAAAAAUGGAGGUUUAACCUGGUUUUCAUUCUCUUCAUUAAAGAAUUGCGCAGAUAUUGAUGUGGUUUGGUUUUCUACAUACUAGAAUGCAUAAGGCAGACCAAACAGGCUUGGAUUUUUAUUGAGAAUAUAUCUGGAAGUUUAUUAACAGCUAAUUGUACACUACUAUGGUACGUCAGACUUGCAUGUACAGUCUGGGAUAUAGAUAUUUUUAAUUAACCUGUUCAGACAUAUUGUGACUCACCUUUGGAGCAGAUGGAGCUGGAACCCAGGCCUUCUGGACCCAAGAUAGGGACUUUGCAUCACAAGAUCUCAAUCAAUGUAGAUUAUAUGGUGACUCUUACACUAUUACAUUUUAUAUAUAUAGUUGACUGAUCGUCCAGUUAACUGGCCAAUAAAUUAUUGGCUGGCCUGUACAGGGAGUAAAAUAGAGACUUUUUUAUUCAGGAGCAUUACAUCUUGUGAUACCAUCUAAUUAUUUUUAAAUAUAGUGCCUUUCUGAGA